rnacentral:rRNA from 1 species
AGAGUUUGAUCCUGGCUCAGAAUGAACGCUGGCGGCAUGCCUAACACAUGCAAGUCGAACGAAUUACCUUCGGGUAGUUAGUGGCGCACGGGUGCGUAACGCGUGGGAAUCUGCCCCUUGGUUCGGAAUAACAGUUGGAAACGACUGCUAAUACCGGAUGACGACGUAAGUCCAAAGAUUUAUCGCCGAGGGAUGAGCCCGCGUAGGAUUAGGUAGUUGGUGUGGUAAAGGCGCACCAAGCCGACGAUCCUUAGCUGGUCUGAGAGGAUGAUCAGCCACACUGGGACUGAGACACGGCCCAGACUCCUACGGGAGGCAGCAGUGGGGAAUAUUGGACAAUGGGCGAAAGCCUGAUCCAGCA